rnacentral:pre_miRNA from 1 species
CGGGGGAGGCCGGAUCCUGGGCUGUGUCCCGGCGCCCAGUUCUCCGGAGCCUGUGCUGGUGGAUUCGCGCUCCCGCCCCGCAGCCCCCU